rnacentral:rRNA from 1 species
ACGGGGGGGGCAAGCGUUGUUCGGAAUUACUGGGCGUAAAGGGCUCGUAGGCGGCCAACUAAGUCGGAUGUGAAAUCCCCAGGCUUAACCUGGGAACUGCAUCCGAUACUGGAUGGCUUGAAUCCGGGAGAGGGAUGCGGAAUUCCAGGUGUAGCGGUGAAAUGCGCAGAUAUCAGGAGGAACACCGAUGGCGAAGGCAGGUCUCUGGGCAUUAACUGACGCUGAGGAGCGAAAGCAUGGGGAGCGAACAGGA